CAGCGAUGCCGCGUGAGUGAUGAAGGCUUUCGGGUCGUAAAACUCUGUUGUUAGGGAAGAACAAGUGCUAGUUGAAUAAGCUGGCACCUUGACGGUACCUAACCAGAAAGCCCCGGUUAACUACGUGCCAGCAGCCGCGGUAAUAC
rnacentral:rRNA from 1 species